ACGAACGCUGGCGGCGUGCUUAACACAUGCAAGUCGAACGAUGAAGCCAGCUUGCUGGUGGAUUAGUGGCGAACGGGUGAGUAACACGUGGGUGAUCUGCCCCAAACUUUGGGAUAAGCCUGGGAAACUGGGUCUAAUACCGAAUAUGACCGAUACUCGCAUGGGUGUUGGUGGAAAGCUCCGGCGGUUUGGGAUGGGCCCGCGGCCUAUCAGCUUGUUGGUGGGGUAAUGGCCUACCAAGGCGACGACGGGUAGCCGGCCUGAGAGGGCGACCGGCCACACUGGGACUGAGACACGGCCCAGACUCCUAUGGGAGGCAGCAGUGGGGAAUAUUGCACAAUGGGCGCAAGCCUGAUGCAGCGACGCCGCGUGAGGGAUGACGGCCUUCGGGUUGUAAACCUCUUUCACCAGGGACGAAGCGAAAGUGACGGUACCUGGAGAAGAAGCACCGGCCAACUACGUG
rnacentral:rRNA from 1 species